AUCGCUUCUCGGCCUCUUGGCUCAGAUCAUGUGUAGUAUCUGUUCUUAUCAGUUUAAUGGUCGGAUACGUGGCUGAGAUAGGGGCGUCUCCCUUAGAAUCUAUUUUAAGGAAGCGGGAAAUGGAAAAUGGGCUUGCUCCGUCCAAAGAACGCAUCGACCCGGUAUUGCAGUACCACCGGGAGUUUUGGAAUGGAC